CGCUGGCGGCGUGCCUAACACAUGCAAGUCGAACGGAGUUUAACGCUGAUGAAGCUUCGGCAGAUUCUUGUUAAACUUAGUGGCGGACGGGUGAGUAACGCGUGGGUAACCUGCCUCAUACAGGGGGAUAGCAGUUGGAAACGACUGAUAACACCGCAUAAGCGCACAGGAUCGCAUGAUCUGGUGUGAAAAUAUUUAUAGGUAUGAGAUGGACCCGCGUCUGAUUAGCUAGUUGGUGAGGUAACGGCCCACCGUGGCGACGAUCGGUAGGGGUUCUGAGAGGAAGGUCCCCCACACUGGAACUGAGACACGGUCCAGACUCC
rnacentral:rRNA from 1 species